rnacentral:rRNA from 1 species
CCUACGGGAGGCAGCAGUGAGGAAUAUUGGUCAAUGGACGAGAGUCUGAACCAGCCAAGUAGCGUGAAGGAUGACUGCCCUAUGGGUUGUAAACUUCUUUUAUAAAGGAAUAAAACGAGGCACGUGUGCCUUUUUGCAUGUACUUUAUGAAUAAGGAUCGGCUAACUCCGUGCUAGCAGCCGCGGUAAUACGGAGGAUCCGAGCGUUAUCCGGAUUUAUUGGGUUUAAAGGGAGCGUAGAUGGGUUGUUAAGUCAGUUGUGAAAUUUUGCGGCUCAACCGUAAAAUUGCAAUUGAUACUGGCAGUCUUGAGUACAGUUGAGGUAGGCGGAAUUCGUGGUGUAGCGGUGAAAUGCUUAGAUAUCACGAAGAACCCCGAUUGCGAAGGCAGCUUACUAACCUGUGACUGACAUUGAUGCUCGAAAGUGUGGGUAUCAAACAGGAUUAGAUACCCGUGUAGUC